CGAUAACAAUGUUAACGAAGAAAACAGAUAAUCGGGCUGUAUGUAAAGGAAAGUGUGUAAAAUAGAAAAUGCAAGCGACUUCUAAAAAUAAAAAGAAAGAAAAAGGUAAAGAAAGAAAAGAAAGGAUAUCUAAAUUAGAGCUUUCGUCUUUGAAUUAAACAAUGGAACAAAGGAACUGGGCAUGAGUAUCUUUUAUACCAAUUUCUCAACUCACGGAGCGCUCUAGAGUAUGCUACGAUAAAGAAAAUUUGACAACCAAUCACUACCAAGUAAACAAUGAUCGACAAAUAUGGACACUUUUUGACUCCUUAAUUGGCUAACCUAAUGGCUGG